rnacentral:rRNA from 1 species
UACGUAGGGGGCAAGCGUUGUCCGGAAUCAUUGGGCGUAAAGAGCGCGUAGGCGGCCCUGUAAGUCCGCUGUGAAAGUCAAGGGCUCAACCCUUGAAUGCCGGUGGAUACUGCAGGGCUAGAGUCCGGAAGAGGCGAGUGGAAUUCCUGGUGUAGCGGUGAAAUGCGCAGAUAUCAGGAAGAACACCGGUGGCGAAAGCGUUCUGCUAGACCUGUACUGACACUGAGGGACGAAAGCUAGGGGAGCGAAUGGG